rnacentral:sRNA from 1 species
AAGAAGAAAUAUUGGACUCAGGAGCUUUAUCUUACAGGAGCAAUAUUGGACUCAGGGCUGUGUCUUCAAGGAGCAAUAUUGGACUCAGGGCUUUGUCUUCAAGGAGCAAUAUUGGACUCAGGGCUGUGUCUUCAAGGAGCAAUAUUGGACUCAGGGCUGUGUCUUCAAUGAGCAAUAUUGGACUCAGGGCUUUGCCUUCAAGGAGCAAUAUUGGACUCAGGGCUUUGUCUUUAAGGAGCAAUAUUGGACUCAGGGCUUUGUCUUCAAGGAGCAAUAUUGGACUCAGGGCUUUGUCUUCAAUGAGCAAUAUUGGACUCAGGGCUGUGUCUUCAAGGAGUAAUAUUGGCCUCAGGGCUUUGUCUUCCAGGAGCAAUAUUGGACUCAGGACUUUGUCUUCAAGGAGCAAUAUUGGACUCAGGACUUUGUCUUCCAGGAGCAAUAUUGGACUCAGGACUUUGUCUUCAAGGAGCAAUAUUGGACUCAGGACUUUGUCUUCAAUGAGCAAUAUUGGACUCAGGGCUUUGUCUUCAAGGAGCAUAUUGGACUUAGGGCUUUGUCUUCAAGGAGCAAUAUUGGACUCAGGGCUUUGUCUUCAAGGGGCAAUAUUGGACUCAGGGCUUUGUCUUCAAGGAGCAAUAUUGCCCAUU